GCCAUCGGCCAUACCACGUUGAGUACGCCUGUUCUCGUCCGAUCACGGAAGCUAAACAACGUUGGGCCCAGGUAGUACUUGGAAGGGGGAACAUCGGGUGUUGAUGGCA
rnacentral:rRNA from 1 species